GCGAUCAUGACGAGCGAGAAGACCUCCUCCACCUGGCGGAUCAGGCCCGCCAGAUAACUCAUGUUGGGGGAAGCAAGCUACCACACUGUGUGCAGCCCUAUAGGGAGGUAACACAUGGCAACAGACUGCUUGAAGAACUGAAGUCUGCCAAACCACUUGAGUGAGCUUGGAAGGGGAUCUCUUCCAGUCAGACCUUCAGAUGAGGAGCAGCCCUGGCUAACGCCUUGAUUGCACACUCAUGGAAGACCUGAACCAGAGGUACCCAGUAAGCUACACCUGGAUUCCUGACCCACAGAAAGGGAGAGAAUAAAUGUUGUUUUCAGCUGCUAA